CCUAUGAACUGUUAUAUCAAACGAAAGUAGUCACCUUAACAGGGACAAAAUCGGACAGGUGGAAGUUGGAA
rnacentral:sRNA from 12 species